rnacentral:lncRNA from 1 species
UGCCAUAUUCCCCCCCUGAGCCCCCAGCCGUCCCUGGUCCCUGCUCCUCCAAGCUGAGAACCACAGUGAGUCAACCACUAAGCUCAACUUCCUGUUCACUCGCAAACUCAGAGGUCCAGCAGGGAGCUGAGGCUCUACAACAAGGGCCGGAACAACGCCCAGGCCAGCUCCCUUCAGAGAGCAGACGGCUGUCCUCUCUGACCUCUACCUCCACCUGGGUCUGUCCAGAUUUGCAGUAAUGAGUUUUACACCUUUACAGUUAUGAAAUUCCAUCACUGAAGAUAAAAAGCGAAAUCGUGAAGGUGAUUGGGGCCCAACGGGAGGAGAGCCGGGUAGAGGACUGCAUGGUGAGGACGGUGCUGGCAGGCAGGCAGCGCCCCCCGAGGGAGCUCCUGGAACAGGACUUCCUGGACAGCCGCCCCAUCCACCCAGACUCCCUCCUGGACCCCUCUGGGGCCUGCAUUCGCACCCUUCAGGAGGGGAUGGUGUGAAGGCGAGAUCUGUGGUCGGGACCCAGGGGCACUUGGCCACUGUGGCCCCAAGUCUUUGGAAGGACCAGCUCCAUCCCCAGCUGAAGUUCCACGAGUGGAGUGAGCCAGCUCCACCUGCAGCUUCCUGCCCAGCGCUGGGACCACAGCCAGAGUCCGUGGCAGCCCCUUCACCUGCUGCAGUGCUGGGGCACCCGGUGGUUGCAUGGCGGUCGGUGUCACCUCCUGAGCUCUGCCUGGGGCCAGCUCCUGGCCUCCUCCCACUGUUCCCCUCACUUAUGCUGGCUCUUGUUUUGGUAUUUACAAAUGCCCUUAUUUCUUGGAUUUAUAUAAUAGAACUAGCUUUUAAUAAAACUUAAAAUUUUAGUGUUUAAAAGGGUCAGCGUGGUGGCCUGAAGUGCCUUCUCCCUGUGUGUGUCCAUCCCCAGAGCACCGUGCUUGGUGGCUCCUGCCCAUACCCCUGGCCACUGCUCCUUUCGUGUCCCCACGGGCACCUGACCUGCAGGGUUCACACCAGUGCAGUCGGACUUGCCUUUGGCCACACAGUCGUGAGAGGGGCUGAUGAAUCUUGCGCUAUGCAGAAGGGGAAACCCUAGAAAGAUCCCGGCCAUUUUUCAUUGUCUUCUUCAGUAGGUAAUCCAGGUUGUGUUGCCAGACAGGAUGUAUUUAUCACAGUAAGAUAACGUGUGCAGUGAGUGAAGGACAGGCGAAGGGGACCAUCGCAGGAAACCCACUGGGCCUUGGCCUCCCCUAGGCGCCGCCUCCCUGUCUGCAUCUCGGGGUUCAGGCUGCGUCUUCCCUGCUGGGAGGGGGUGCGCCACUCCUCAGCUCUCCU